ensembl:lncRNA
GCCCUGACAACAGUGACGUCACGCCCCCUACCUGUUCCUCAGGUGGAGUCCUGACUGGUUCCAGGAAACAGAUCACCUGUCUGAGCGUCCAGGAGUGGACUGGAAACUUUCUUCUUCUUCUUCAGCGCUUUGAGUAAAGUGUGAAGGUAGAAAGUGUGUGUGAGCUGCUGUGAGUUGAGCAGCAUGGAUGAGUGUGAGGACAGAGAGGAGGGAGUCCCUCCCUCUAAAAGCUCUCUGUGUGGGGAACAGGAGAACCAGAGCAAAGCUCAGAGGAAUCCACCUGGACCUGGACCUGGACCUGGACAUGAACCUGGACCUCCAUCCAGCUGUGUGUCCUUCAAGAGUGACUGGUCUAAGGAUUGUCCUCCUGAAUUUAAAGGAGAACCAGGUCCUGCUGCAGACGGAGUGGAGCAGCAGAACUCAGAGGUUCCCAGAGUUCAGUCUGUCCAGCAGCAUCACCUGGACUCCAUAUUCAUG